CAGGAUUUAUGCAAAGAUAAAUUCAUUUUUUUUUUAAAACGAAAUUUAAAUUUAAAAUGGAUCAAGUCAAACGUUUAAAAAAAGGAAGACGGUCAACUUUUGGAGAGAAAAAUAAUUCAGAAGAUUUGCUUGUGCUGGCCCAUCGAGCAUUUCAUACUUCAACAGAUCAAAUUGAAAGCAUUUAUAAUAUUAAUAUUCCUUUGGAAAUUAAAAAAAUCACCUUAACUGAUAUUUUACAUGCAAAUGAAACAGAUCCAGUUGAAAAAAAAGCAGAAAAAAAAUAUGCAGAAUAUAAAGGA